UGGGGAAUAUUGGACAAUGGGCGAAAGCCUGAUCCAGCCAUGCCGCGUGUGUGAAGAAGGUCUUCGGAUUGUAAAGCACUUUAAGUUGGGAGGAAGGGCAGUAAGCGAAUACCUUGCUGUUUUGACGUUACCGACAGAAUAAGCACCGGCUAACUCUGUGCCAGCAGCCGCGGUAAUACAGAGGGUGCAAGCGUUAAUCGGAAUUACUGGGCGUAAAGCGCGCGUAGGUGGUUCGUUAAGUUGAAUGUGAAAGCCCCGGGCUCAACCUGGGAACUGCAUCCAAAACUGGCGAGCUGGAGUAGGGCAGAGGGUGGUGGAAUUUCCUGUGUAGCGGUGAAAUGCGUAGAUAUAGGAAGGAAAACCAGUGGCGAAGGCGACCACCUGGGCUCAUACUGAAACUGAGGUGCGAAAGCGUGGGGAGCAAACAGG
rnacentral:rRNA from 1 species